rnacentral:rRNA from 1 species
CCUGACUGCUAUCGGAUUGAUACUAAGCCAUGCGAGUCAUUGUAGCAAUACAAGGCAGACGGCUCAGUAACGCGUAGUCAAUCUACCCUAUGGACGGGAAUAACCUCGGGAAACUGAGAAUAAUGCCCGAUAGAACAUUAUGCCUGGAAUGGUUUAUGUUUCAAAUGAUUUAUCGCCAUAGGAUGGGACUGCGGCCUAUCAGUUUGUUGGUGAGGUAAUGGCCCACCAAGACUAUUACAGGUACGGGCUCUGAGAGGAGUAGCCCGGAGAUGGGUACUGAGACACGGACCCAGGCCCUAUGGGGCGCAGCAGGCGAGAAAACUUUGCAAUGUGCGAAAGCACGACAAGGUUAAUCCGAGUGGUUUCUGCUAAAGAAACCUUUUGUCAGUCCUAGAAACACUAACGAAUAAGGGGUGGGCAAGUUCUGGUGUCAGCCGCCGCGGUAAAACCAGCACCUCAAGUGGUCAGGAUGAUUAUUGGGCCUAAAGCAUCCGUAGCUCGUUUUGUAAGUUUUCGGUUAAAUCCAUGCGCUUAACGUAUGGGCUGCCGGGAAUACUGCAUAACUAGGAAGUGGGAGAGGUAGACGGUACUCGGGAGGAAGGGGUAAGAUCCUUUGAUCUCUUGAUGACCACCUGUGGCGAAGGCGGUCUACCAGAACACGUUCGACGGUGAGGGAUGAAAGCUGGGGGAGCAAACCGGAUUAGAUACCCGGGUAGUCCCAGCUGUAAACUAUGCAAACUCAGUGAUGCAUUGGCUUAUGGCCAAUGCAGUGCUGCAGGGAAGCCGUUAAGUUUGCCGCCUGGGAAGUACGUACGCAAGUAUGAAACUUAAAGGAAUUGGCGGGGGAGCACCACAA